CAGCGGGCGGAGGAUAAAAGCUGCCGCGGCUGCCUUGGGAACCGCGCUGCCUCGACUGGGCUACCCCUUGCUGGGCAGCCCUGCGAAGCAGCUCCAUCAGGCAGCCCCUGGUCGCUCAGCGGCUGUGGCGGCGCCUGUCCUUUUCUCCUGCAGGGCCGCGGAGAAGGGAAGGCGGAAUCCACAGCUGUCGGCGCCUGAGCAUCAGCUGCCCACCAGCGCAGCGCAGCUGGCCAUCAAAGGCACACCUGAACUUGAAUUCUGUGCAGCUGAUUGCAGAGCUGUCUUGAUGCCCGCCUAGAGGACCCGGAUCUGCGACCCCCUGUGGACAGAGAUUGACCAUAUCCCUGAGACGAGAUUUCUCACGGAG
rnacentral:lncRNA from 1 species